AUUGAACGCUGGCAGCAGGCUUAACACAUGCAAGUCGAGCGGGGGGAUGGUGCUUGCACUAUCACUUAGAGGCGGACGGGUGAGUAAUGCUUAGGAAUCUGCCUCUUAGUGGGGGACAACAUCUCGAACGCGCUGCUCAUACCGCAUACGCCCUACGGGAGAAAGCAGGGGAUCGCUGUUGACCUUGCGCUAAUAGAUGAGCCUAAGUCGGAUUAGCUAGUUGGUGGGGUAAAGGCCUACCAAGGCGACGAUCUGUAGCGGGUCUGAGAGGCCGAUCCGCCACACUGGGACUGAGACACGGCCCAGACUCCUACGGGAGGCAGCAGUGGGGAAUAUUGGACAAUGGGGGGAACCCUGAUCCAGCCAUGCCGCGUGUGUGAAGAAGGCCUUAUGGUUGUAAAGCACUUUAAGCGAGGAGGAGGCUCUUUUGGUUAAUACCCAAGAUGAGUGGACGUUACUCGCAGAAUAAGCACCGGCUAACUCUGUGCCAGCCGCCGCAGUAA
rnacentral:rRNA from 1 species